UAACAAGUUUGUUGUUCACUGCAACAAUAUCAGUAGCUUGUCUUAAAAAUCGCAUGAAGAAAAACGUGUUAACACAUGUGCUGGUACCACUUUAUAUAAUAUUUUUUAUGAGCUUCAAAAAUAAAAUGCGUUCGUAUUCAACAUGUGCCUUGCACGAACUGUGUGUUUGUAUUCAGUGUGUGACUCACACCUCAGUUGGACAAAAAAACUGCACACUGCAGUCAGGGGUACUUGCCACUGUGGGGCUCGAUUUAGGCUACAUGUACCUCAAUUGCCUCCUACCCCUGCUCAUCGACUUGGUACUGGUACCCCGUCUAGCCAAAUUAACGUUACUCAUUGUGUAUUUAUUCCUUGUGUUAUUUUUUAUAUUCUUUUUCAAACUUUCUGCGUUUUCAAGGAGCCGUAAGUUUUGACAGUUUCUUGUCUCUCAUGAGAAGCAACUGUUUGACAACUCCAACACCGGUUGGGCCUCCUGGAUCUGGUGGACCUCCUGGACAGUCUGGAUCUACACCUGGUGGACAUCCCGGACCAACUGGAGAGUUACCUGCAUGUCUGCAGCAUGGAAGCCAGCUGUGUUCUGGUGAAGGAGGUCCGACCGGAUUUCCGUUGUUAAAGCAUGGUUCCGGAGGGGAGUUGGGAAGUGCAACCCAUCUGUUCACUGCGGAGGAACACUUUUUGAUUCACAUGUCGACAUUUCAAAGUACCUUUCAUACAUUGAUACUGUUAAUGCUAAAAUAACUGUAUGUAUUUCAAAUCUGAUCAGUACCCUGAAACGUUAUAUCACAAUCAUGUGUAUUGAAAAUGUAUGUCUUGCAAAACUCACCUUCUACCUUACAAUGGACAGCUCCAUACACUGAGUAUACCGCCAUACACUGAUAUACCAAACAUUAGGAACAACUUCCUAAUAUUGAGUUGCACCCUCCCCUUUUGCCCUCACAACAGCCUCAAUUGGUCGGGGCAUGGA